rnacentral:rRNA from 1 species
GACGAACGCUGGCGGCGUGCUUAACACAUGCAAGUCGAACGGAAAGGCCCUGCUUUUGUGGGGUGCUCGAGUGGCGAACGGGUGAGUAACACGUGAGUAACCUGCCCUUGACUUUGGGAUAACUUCAGGAAACUGGGGCUACUACCGGAUAGGAGCUCCUGCUGCAUGGUGGGGGUUGGAAAGUUUCGGCGGUUGGGGAUGGACUCGCGGCUUAUCAGCUUGUUGGUGGGGUAGUGGCUUACCAAGGCAUUGACGGGUAGCCGGCCUGAGAGGGUGACCGGCGACAUUGGGACUGAGAUACGGCCCAGACGCCUACGGGAGGCAGCAGUGGGGAAUAUUGCACAAUGGGCGGAAGCCUGAUGCAGCAACGCCGCGUGCGGGAUGACGGCCUUCGGGUUGUAAACCGCUUUCGCCUGUGACGAAGCGUGAGUGACGGUAAUGGGUAAAGAAGCACCGGCUAACUACGUG